rnacentral:piRNA from 1 species
UCACAAGUGGAGUAUCUGGCAUGAGAGGGU